rnacentral:rRNA from 1 species
CCGCGGUAAUUCCAGCUCCAAUAGCGUAUAUUAAAGUUGUUGCAGUUAAAAAGCUCGUAGUUGAACCUUGGGCCUGGCUGGCCGGUCCGCCUCACCGCGUGUACUGGUCCGGCCGGGCCUUUCCUUCUGGGGAACCUCAUGCCCUUCACUGGGCGUGUUGGGGAACCAGGACUUUUACUUUGAAAAAAUUAGAGUGUUCAAAGCAGGCCUUUGCUCGAAUACAUUAGCAUGGAAUAAUAGAAUAGGACGUGUGGUUCUAUUUUGUUGGUUUCUAGGACCGCCGUAAUGAUUAAUAGGGAUAGUCGGGGGCAUCAGUAUUCAAUCGUCAGAGGUGAAAUUCUUGGAUUGAUUGAAGACUAACUACUGCGAAAGCAUUUGCCAAGGAUGUUUUCAUUAAUCAGUGAACGAAAGUUAGGGGAUCGAAGACGAUCAGAUACCGUCGUAGUCUUAACCAUAAACUAUGCCGACUAGGGAUCGGACGGUGUUAGUAUUUUGACCCGUUCGGCACCUUACGAGAAAUCAAAGUUUUUGGGUUCUGGGGGGAGUAUGGUCGCAAGGCUGAAACUUAAAGGAAUUGACGGAAGA